rnacentral:rRNA from 1 species
UACGUAGGGGGCAAGCGUUGUCCGGAAUCAUUGGGCGUAAAGAGCGUGUAGGCGGUCCGGUAAGUCGGCUGUGAAAGUCCAGGGCUCAACCCUGGGAUGCCGGUCGAUACUGCCGGACUAGAGUUCGGAAGAGGCGAGUGGAAUUCCCCGGUGUAGCGGUGAAAUGCGCAGAUAUCGGGAGGAACACCUAUGGCGAAGGCAGCUCGCUGGGACGUUACUGACGCUGAGACGCGAAAGCGUGGGGAGCAAACAGG